rnacentral:rRNA from 1 species
UAUCUCUGUAGAGUCUGCAUAUCAAUAAGCGGAGGAAAAGAAACUAACAAGGAUUCCCCUAGUAACGGCGAGUGAAGCGGGAAGAGCUCAAAUUUGAAAUCUUCAAGGUUUGACCUUGACGAAUUGUAGUUUAAAGAAGUGUUUUCGGUUAGAGGAGUAGUAAAAGUUCUUUGGAAUAGGACAUCAUAGAGGGUGAGAAUCCCGUAUUUGACUAUUCUUUCUAGCUUUGUGAUACACUUUCAAAGAGUCGGAUUGUUUGGGAAUGCAGUCCAAAAUGGGUGGUAAAUUUCAUCUAAAGCUAAAUAUUGGCGAGAGACCGAUAGCGAACAAGUACCGUGAGGGAAAGAUGAAAAGAACUUUGAAAAGAGAGUUAAACAGUACGUGAAACUGUCAAAAGGGAAGCGUUUGACACCAGUGUUGUUUUUUCCGGAAAAUCAAUUAAAAAUUGAUUCAUGCCAGGUUGUAUUGACCUUAUCAGCUUGCAAUUUGGUUUUGGGUCUCUUUUUCGAUGCACUUUUUCGGUUAACAAGUCAACAUCAAUUUCCUUUGCUGUAAAAAGGUAAGAGGAAGGUGGCUUCAAUUUCGGUUGAAGUGUUUAUAGCCUUUUAUCUCUGCAGUCGGGGAGAUUGAGGUCUGCAGCGUAGAUCCUUCGGGGCUAGAUACAUUUAUGCUAAAGUUAUAGCUUUUCAUAGACAACUUGUUGACUAUGUUUAGUCAUGUAGCUUACUCGUAAGUGCUAUUUUACCUACGCUUAGGAUGUUGAGCGCAUGUCUCUCUCU